UGGGGAAUCUUCCGCAAUGGGCGCAAGCCUGACGGAGCAACGCCGCGUGAGUGAAGAAGGGUUUCGACUCGUAAAGCUCUGUGAUCGGGGACGAACGGUCAGCAGACGAAUACUCUGCUGAAGUGACGGUACCCGAAUAGCAAGCCACGGCUAACUACGUGCCAGCAGCCGCGGUAAUACGUAGGUGGCAAGCGUUGUCCGGAAUUAUUGGGCGUAAAGCGCGCGCAGGCGGCUUCUUAAGUCCAUCUUAAAAGUGCGGGGCUUAACCCCGUGAUGGGAUGGAAACUGAGAGGCUGGAGUAUCGGAGAGGAAAGUGGAAUUCCUAGUGUAGCGGUGAAAUGCGUAGAGAUUAGGAAGAACA
rnacentral:rRNA from 1 species